GCCCGCGGCGAGGCGGGAACCUGCCCCGGCCCCCCGCGGCGGCGGCCCGAGUGCGCGGGGUGCGGGCCGGGAGUGGGAGCGACCCUGCGUCUGCGGCGCACUGUGCGGGUCGGCCACCGGCCCCCGGCCCGUUCGGGACCCAGACGCUGAGCGCAGCCUCCAGCCGGGGCGUUUCAGCGGCGGGGGGUACAGCCGAGGUGGCGUUUCCGGAGUUCGGAGGCACUCCUUGACGCGGCUAUUUGGUUUUUCUAGUUUUCAACUACCGAAGAAGGUGCUUGGGUAUCAGAGACAUGAAUUACGCACGGUUCCUCACCGCCACGAGCGCAGCGAGAAAGCCUUCUGCAAUCCGAGUCAUGACUGAGACUUGGAGCAGGGCACCGAAAUCAGUCAUCUCCUUGGCUACUGGAUCACCAAACCCCAAUACGUUCCCUUUUAUGACUGCUGUUAUCACCAUAAAAAAUGGAAAGCCCAUCCAAUUUGAUGAAGAGAUGAUGAAGAGAGCACUUCAGUAUUCUCAAAGUGCCGGAAUCCCAGAGCUGUUGUCCUGGCUAAAACAGUUACAAGUAAAAUUGCAUAAUCCUCCCACCAUCAAUUAUCCAACCAGCCAAGGACAGAUGGACAUAUGCAUAACAUCUGGCAGCCAAGACGGUCUUUGCAAGGUGUUUGAAAUGAUGGUUAAUCCUGGAGAUAAUGUCCUCCUAAAUGAACCUGUUUAUUCAGGAACACUUCAAGCUCUGAAGCCACUGGGCUGCAACAUCAUUAAUGUUGCCAGUGAUGAAUAUGGGAUUAUUCCGGACUCCCUCAAAGAAGUACUUUCCAAAUGGAAACCAGAAAACUCAAAGAACCCCAAGAAAAACACCCCCAAGUUUCUUUACGCUGUCCCAAAUGGCAACAACCCUACUGGAAACUCAUUAACAAGUAAUCGCAAGGAGGAAAUCUAUGAGCUCGCAAGAAAAUAUGAUUUCCUCAUCAUAGAAGAUGAUCCUUACUAUUUUCUCCAGUUCAGCAAGUCCUGGGCACCAACAUUUCUUUCCAUGGACAUUGAUGGGCGUGUCAUCAGAGCUGACUCUUUUUCAAAAGUCCUUUCCUCUGGGUUGAGAAUAGGGUUUUUAACUGGUCCAAAAGCCUUGAUAGAGAGAGUUGUCUUACACACACAAGUUUCAACCUUGCACCCCAGCACUUUUACACAGCUUCUGGUAUCACAGCUUCUACACCAAUGGGGAGAAGAGGGUUUCCUGGCUCAUGUAGAGAGGGUUACUGAUUUCUAUAGGAACCAGAGGGAUGCAUUACUGGCAGCUGCAGACAAAUGGCUAAGUGAUAUUAAUGCUUCCCGGAAAUGUCUUCUACAUUGAUAGCUCAGCUCCUAGCCCUUACUUUAGAGCGUCCUUCUCUUCAGCUUCUCCAGAACAGAUGGAUAUGGCCUUCCAGAGAUUAGCCCAGCUUAUUAAAGAAUCUUUAUGAAGAAAUCAAACUCUUUAUGAAGAAAUCAGAAUCUUCCAUGGGUUUUUCACAUAAAUUAUUUUUAGCUUUUAGCAGGAAGAAAUGAUCAUUGGCAUUAGACUUACAGAUUGGAUUUCAAUAAGCAUGUCAUAUCUGCAGUAGUUUAACUAGACAACUUUUAAAGUGCCCUUAAAUUCAUCAGAUUGACAAAUUUAUAAUUCACUUAUACCUUUUGAUAAAUUUUCACCCUGCAAAAAGUAUUUUUAUCCUGGAUUUUAUUGUAAGGAACUCCAGUUGCUUUAUGGUUUCCCAUAAAUUUUCCUUGAAGCUAACAUUUUACCAUAAAUUAUUUUGAAAAUGUAAGAAAAUAAAUUAAAUUCAAAAUGGUAUAU